CGCCAACGGACGUAGUUUAAACCGAGAUCCGAGCGGCCGACAAGCGGCUGAGGCAGCUGCUGGUGGCCUCCGGGCUGGCGAGGCGCAAUGGAAUACCCAGCCAUGGAAACAAGCUCACUUUCCACCUCAGGAAUGAAGAAGCAUGUGAGAGACAAAAGAAUUUCAAAGACUGCUAAGUUGAAUGUUUCUCUUGCUUCAAAAAUUAAAACAAAAAUAAUAAACAAUUCUUCUAUUUUCAAAAUUUCCUUAAAGCACAACAACAGAGCAUUAGCUCAAGCUCUUAGUAGAGAAAAAGAAAAUUCCCGAAAAAUUACGACUGAAAAGAUGCUGUUGCAAAAAGAAGUGGAAAAAUUAAACUUUGAGAAUACCUUUCUCCGUCUAAAGCUAAAUAAUUUGAAUAAGAAACUCAUAGAAAUAGAAGCACUCAUGAGCAAUAACUUGCUAACUGCAAUUGAAAUGAGCACAAUCUGUGAGAGUUCCUUUAUGCUGCCAGCGAGCAAGAAGAAACGGGCUAGUAGGCAGGGGGCCAUGAUGCGUCUUCCAUUUGCAAGGGUUCCAUUAAGUUCCAAUGAUGACGACGAGGAGGAUGGUGCAGAGCAGAUAGGCUGUGACAGCAUUCUGUUAAAGGCAUCUCCUGACAGUUCCUCUUCAGUAUCGAUACGACAGGCUUUAUUAACUCCACAGCGUCUGGGGCUUUCACAGCUUAAGGAAAAUAAGAAUGAUUCAGAGCACAUCUCUUCUAUUGUUGAUCUAUUUCCCAAAGAAAGCCAUUCACACUCGAACCUAAAUUCCAAGAGUUCUCCAGUAAGUAAGAUGAAAAAUGCACAGUCCAUCAGCCACAGAAAGGAAAAACCCUCUGUUAGUAAUGUGACUGAAAGGAAGAAACGGGCAUCAUCCCGGGAAUCCAGUAACCCUUCUGCAGCUCCUUCCUGUGGGACUGGUUUAGAUGAACAGAUUUCAAGCCCACAAUUAGGGGGGAACAAUAGCAGGAGUGAUUGCGCUGAUGAAACGACUACUAAAGGGCAAAGAGACACACAGUGUCUUCCUGACUCCUCUUCUGAGGCUACAAGUGAACCUGCUGCAGAAUCCAAGGAUCAAGUUCCUGACAGGGAUGACUUUCAGUUGCAGAAAACGGUGUAUGAUACGGCUGACAUGGACUUAACUGCUCCUGAAGUAAGCAACAUUGUUGUAGUUUCAACUGGCACCAAGCAGAAAAGUAACCAGCAACCAAGUAAUUGUGAAAUGAAAGUGUCCAGAAAAGUAAGAACUUCAAACUCUCAUACAAAGAGAGAAAGAUCGAAGAGACCAUUAAAAAAUAGUUUGGUUGAGGAUAUUGAGGAAAAAAUUAAGAAUGAAUCAAAAAUAAGAUGUAUUAUCCUGGAUGACCAAGAGGACUUAGAAGGUCCAGAGUUAAUUUUCAGUCUUGAGCAGCAAAAUCAGUUGCAGGAGAUGAAUAAAAUAUCCCAUCAUGACGACUUUGAUCAAGACAGUGGAGAAAGUAAGCAAUGUAAUAGGAGAAUAUAUGUACCAAGUGGACAUGAGAAAACAUACUCUUUCUCCUAUAGUUCAGAUAAAUUACAGCAGAAAAGCAAAUUUGAUACAGAUCAGCGUUCUCUGGCUUACAAUAAAAAUAAGACUUCUAGACAGACAUUUGUAAUUCAUAAGUUAGAAAGUGAUAACUUAUUUCCAAACCAACAGAACAAAGAAACCAUUUCUGAAAACCUAGCAGUCACAAAUGAAUUUCAAGGAGAUGAUUUUUCCAGCAAAGGUAAUGGAAAAGUAUGUGAUUAUGAGGCCCAUAAUGUGUUGGAUUUUGGAAAGCAUGUCACUGAUACUCAAACUAUUCAAAAAAAUGAAUCAAAACUAAAGAAGCAGCUUAGGCAGAAGGUAAACCGGAAGACAGAAAUCAUUUCUGAAAUGAACCAUACAUAUAGGGACAGUGAUCAAGAUGUUGACAGCUCAGAGAAAGGUAACUUUCUCCUCCAAAUCCAGGAGACUAAAGAAACAGUCUCUAGAAACUUAGAAGUUUAUUCAGAUGAACUUCAAAAGCCAACUUUUUUCACCAGCAGUAGUGGAAACCUAUGUGAUGGUAAAACCCAGAAUAGAUUGGAUUUGAAAACACAAGUCACUGAUAUGCAGCCUGCUCAGCAAAGUGAAAUAAAAGCUAGUAAGAGGCUUAAGCAAAAAGUAAAUCGCAAGACCGAAAUACUUUCUGAAAGAAACCAAACAUGUGGAGAUAAUGUUGAGGAUGUUUAUGGCUCUGCAAGAGGUAGCAUCUCUCUCCAAACACAGCAGGAGAAAGAUGGCAUCUCUAAAAACCUAAAAGCUUCAGUGGAGUGUCAAAAACCUCUUUUUACCAGCAGUUGUGGAAACCUAUGUGAUAGUGGGGCUCUGAAUGUUUUGGGUUUGCAAAAGCACCUCAUUGACAUGUUCCCUGUUCAGCAAGAUGAACUAAAAGUUAAUAAGAAGCACAGGCAAAAACUAAAUCGGAAGACAGAAAUAAUUUCCGAAAUGAAUCAUUUAGGUAAUGACAAAAACAUGUAUUGCCCUGAAAAAGAUCGCACUUUCUCUUUAACACAGAGUGAGGAAGAAGUCAUCCCAGGAAAUCCAGAAGACCCAAGGGAGCUACAGACACCUCCUCUUUCUACCAGAGAUCAUGGAGACAUCCUUGAUUAUGAGACGCAAGGUGUUUGGGAGUUCAGUAGAAAUGUCCAUGAUCUGCAACCUCCUUGUCAAAAUCAAUCAAAAACAGAGAAGAUUAGGCAAAAGAAGAUUAAACGAAAGAAGACAGAAAUUAUUUCUGAAAUGAACCAAAUACAUGAGAAUGAUGACAAAAGUGGGCCUAAAAAGCUUGGGCAGAAAGCACGUCAGAAGACAGAAAUUAUUUCUGAAAUGAGCCAAACGUAUGGAGACAAUGCUAAAGAAGACAGCAUAGAAGACCUUGACGUUAAAAUAACUCAUUCUAAACAGAGACUCGAAUGCCAAGGUGGGAUGAGUGGAUACAAUACAGAAACCAACAGUAAUGAAAAGGAAGUUUAUGAUCGAUUUUCAGAUGGCUACAAACUGGAUAAAAAUAUUGAGAAAGAAUCACCAGGCAACAGCAAGACCAUUUUGACAGAAGAUAAAAACAAACCUCUUUUGUACCUAGCAGAUUCUCCACAAACAUUUAUCUCCUUGGAAUCGGGUUUAAAACAUAGUGUAGCAGAUCCUAAUCCUGGAAACCAGAUGAAGUCACAUAAGAAUCUAAAGCAAACCAUGACAACUCUAAAUAAAACAAACAUCCCCACGGUGGAUGUGAAAAAAGGAGAAUGCAAAGCCCCAAAAAUAAAAUCCAAAGCGAAGAAGAGGAAGAUCUUCAUAGAAUCUUCUCCAGAUCGCUGUGCCUUGGAGGAGAUAGCAUCUGACUCCAUUCAGGGAACAGCAGUUGAAUCUCAGCAAACUGAAAAGGCAAUAAGCUUGGAGGAUGAGAAGAGUGCAAAACUCAAGUCGGUAUCGUACAAAACGGUGUUCACAUGUCUGUCUGAGGUAUAUGCAUCUAACAUACAAGACUCUCCCUUUAGCAGGGUACGUGAGAGUUCUGUACCUUUGAGAAUUUCUUCCAGUGAAAAUCUGAUAAUGAAAGAAAAUAUAGUCCCAGAAAGCUCACCAAUCUUUCAAUUAAGUGGUGAUUCAUGCGAAAAGAGGAAAUUCAACUGGAGAACACAGAAGUCAGGCAGAGAUGAUGGAGCACUACAAGACCUGACAAAUCUCAGCUUUGUUUCAAAUAACUCGAUUCAAUCUGAAAACCUAUCAGAAGAUCUGUCCGAGCUUCCAAGUCGAAGAAGGAGGUGUGCCCCUCUGUCAUUAAAAGAGCCGAGCCUCCGGAAAUUUUUGUCUUGAUUCAUCAGUGCUGUUGAUUUCCUGUCUUCUCAUUAUGUUUGCUGCCCCAUGAGGACCCCAGCUGGAACAUGCUUGGGCAGCAACCAGGAGUUCAAGGCCACACAUUCCUGGAAGCCACUAGACUCUGUCAGGCACAGGAUCUGAUCUGAAACGAGACUAGAGGCUCAGUCCCAGGAAGAUGAGAAGAUGAGGUGAAUUCACACACUGGUUCUGAAUUCUCAAGACAUCACAUCAAAACAGGACAUACCUAGGAUCAAGAAAGCAAAAUGCAAAAUGAAAAGUGUCGGUUAUCUGACUUCACGGGCUAUAGAUUUAUCCAUUCUUACAUAUGUGUAUGUGUGUGUGUAUGUAUAAAAUAGCUGCUCUGUAAUAUCAUUCUGGUAAUCCUGUAACUUCAUGUUUAUUUAAACAUGCAAUUAAACAAUACUUGUUAACUUUUAACCAAUAGAAUGAAUUCUAGAUGCUGUUAGAUUAUC